ACAAAACGAAUGAGCGAGGCCUCUCGUCGCUCUUGCUCGUCUCUCUCUCGAUCCUCUCUCCACCCCUCGGCCGCCGGCCGAUUCCAGCCGUUGCAGGCGGUCUCCGACGCCGCCCAACACUUCCUCGUGGUCUCCUCGAUUCGGCCUAUCUCCUCCAUCCAUUCGAUUCGACGCUCGCCACCUCCUCCUGCGCCCGUGGCUAACCCUAGCGGCAACUGUCGCCGGCACCAUGCGCCGUCUUGGACGCCGGCACGGCCCUUACGCCUCUUGCGCUCCUCCUCGACGCCUCUCCCACGUCACUGAGGCCGUCGAACACGAGGGCAUGUACUCCCAGCCGCAGCGGUGCUUCUUGAUCUGCGUCGUCUUCAAGGGCGCAGAGUGACGGAGGUCGGGUCCCCCCUCCUUCGCCGUGGUCGCGCGCAGGUAGAGGAGCCAGCCCCGUGUGGUUCUGCGCCAAGGUCAGCGAUGGGGGACGCUCGGCCACCACCCCCUUCUCCGCCGUGGCCUGCCAAGGCCGGCAACCUGCUCGAUCUUUUGCCCCAAAUGCGGUUGAAUCCCUUUCGAAAAACUACAAGAUUUGGGCAUAAAGCUAGUGCGAGGCAUGAAUGGAUUUCACAAAUUUCCAUCAGUGAAAGGCCGUGUGUCAUUAGAUGGAUUUGGUUUGGAUACACUACUCUUUUAAUACUCAUGGUGGUAUGGAGUUUUUAGAUGGUACUUGUUCUUUGUUUAGGGCUUGCAUGUGCAUGUGGACAUCAGGCAAAACAUAAUCUCUUAAAAAAGUGUCUUUGAAUAUUCUCAGCUGAUGUAGUAUCCGCACACGGUCAAUUUGUUUUCAGUAUCACCCAUUUCUAACUUUGUAGUCAUGUGUUGGCCCAAUUUUUUAUCCCUUUUGAUGCUACCACUUGUGGUUCUUGAUUGCCAGGGUGGUCCUUUUGGGGUGCAAAUGACUAAAGGCUGAUGCUUCAUGAUGAACACCAUGAAUCUGCAUUUUUCAGUUCUGGUGGAACUUAGAACAUCACAUUGCAAGGACUGGAUUUUGAUUGAUAUAACCAUACACUGCAGAGUACAGACUACAGAUUAGAACUCGUCGAAGAUAAUCCAUGCCAUCGCGUGGCAUCGAUCUCCAUCGUCCUCAUCCUAUAGGAGCUAGCUGAGAGCAAGCUCGAACAGUUUGUCGUGGACAAACAAGAGUGAGACUAAUAAGAGGCAUAUAUUCGAUGGCUACGGUGGGAUGAAUUCAGGAAGUCACUCGCAGACGUUAGGGAGAUUGUAUGCCUGGGAGAAGAAACUGUAUGAAGAAGUUAAGGCCAUAGAUCAAAUUCGACAAGAGAAGAAUUGUGUGCAGCUGAGGAACGAAGACGCCAAAGGUUCAGAGCUGCGUUGUGCUGGAAGAACCAGGACAAAUGUAAGAUACUUGUACACAAGGGUCUGGGUUUCUCUACGAGCAGCGGAAUCGGUAGCUUGUUGAGGUGUUGCAUGGGUAAGCUAAUCUCAUGUUUCGGGUGUAGGACUGAUGAUUGAUGUAGUUUCACUUAAUCAAAAUACUGAUGCCUUUUCCCUUCUCCGCGAGAGUUUUACGAGAACUAGGAAAGUAAUGGUGGACUCUCAUAAAGCACAGAGAUAGAUAAUGUUUGAGGUGAAUUCCUUCACCUGCUCUGCUUAUGGGAAAUUCUGCAACAAUGCCCAGUGGCACGCCACUCUCAAGCUGGAGGUCGAGCUUAGCGACUGGAGGUCCUGCACUCCUGCUUCGCGAGCUACGUCAGUGCUCAGAAGGCAUACAUCAAAGCCCUUGACGCCUGGUUAUCCAAGUUCAUCCUGAUGGACACCAUCCGUUACUUACGGAGGAUCUCCUUGAUCGCGCCGGACAGAGCCGACGCGCCGCCCCUGGUGGUGAUCUGCCACAAGUGGCACACCACACUGUCGAUGACCAGAUCCUCCUCACCACUGACUCCGGCAUAGAUGUCCAAGAACGCGGAGUUUUAGAACAUCUGCGCCCCGGCCGCGUUAUCCUGUGCGUUGGCACAAGCUACUGAAUCUCGAGAUCCGCAUCGGAUGGAACCGGUUAUGCAGAUUGAUUACCGUGGCAGAUGCGUUCUUACGGGGCGCUGGCGCUCUACACGCACAGGCACAGGUAGCCUAGGCUGUCCACUUUUGUUCGCUUAUGCCCACCAAGCAUAUGGACGCAGCCCGUGACUUGGUCAGACAAAACACCAUCUAUUAAGCUACACCUGAUGGCAAAUACAUGUAUUAUUAUUCUAACACAUUUUGUGCAAGGCGCAUCUCCAUUUGUUUAGUGUAUUUUGUCCCGUUUGUAUCUGCAGUUUGUAACAACACUUUCAGACUGUCAUUAGAACGGAACUUAAUGCAGUGUAUAUCUGCAUUUUGUAUCAAAGGAUUCAGAGUGCAAAAAGAUCGAAACUUAGUGCCGUGUAUAUCUGAUUUUUGGCACAAUACACUUAGACAGCCAUGAGACCGGAGUUUCCUACAUGCACACGGCCAUGUCAUUUGCAUCCCCAUUCAGACAACCAUUCUGCAUUUUUGGACACUGCAUGGUGACGAAGAAGGAUGGACUUGAACUUAGUUCU